rnacentral:lncRNA from 1 species
UAAGAGAGAACCAAUCAUCGUCUACAGGAAUUUCAGCAGCGCCUUUGUUGAUGAAAUCUCUGUACAGUGUUGAACAGAACAACCUUGUUUCAACAUCACUAUGGAAUGGCUUUGUGAAAUCAGCUUCUGACAAAGUGCCAAAUGGAAACGACAAAGGAAAAACCUUGGUGUCUCCUUCCACACGUGGACAAGAUAAAAUGUAUCAAUCAAGCUACAAGUUAGCAUCUCAAGAGCAUUUCACACGUACUAAAUAUCAUAGCUAUUCUCUUUUAAUCCGCGAGAAGAAAAAGAGUAGCCUGUUAGACCCUCGAAGAUCUUCUUUCCCAAGAUGGUUUCAGGGCGGCGAUGCUCAUUUACAGCUUGAUCCCAUAGCAGGCAGUGGUGAUGGAUAUUCUACUGCUAAUGUGGAGACUACGAAGUUAUACACUAGUUUAGACUCAGUGGAAGAGUCAUCAAGAGAUUAUCCCAAAAUAUCCCUGACAACUCGCCAUUUUCUGAUGUCAAAAAAGGCUGAUGCUAAUUUAUCUGCCCGAGGCCAGUUCUUUAGAGAGUCAAUAGCACCUAUCAAAUUCAAAGGAAAUGCUUUCAAUGAGAUGGAACAUUCCUCUCCAUCCACGAGUGACCAUGAUUUGGAAGGUAUGAAGCUGGAAACUCUAGGGAGCUCAAAAAAGAGUGAAGGAAAGGAAAAUAUCCAAGAUUUCAAUAGUCCAACAAACCUGAAGAAUGAGUCAUCUGCUGAAACUGAUACUAUGGACAUAUAUGCUUUACACAGGAAUCUCUUUCCUGGUAUGUAUGCACACUUUCAUAGCACAUACCAUAUCAUGCUAUUCUUGAAGCCUUGUAUUAUAGCUUUGAUGCUCUUUUCUAGCUGAAUUUCUGAAACCUGUUCUUGUUUGUUGCAGGUAUUGUUCCAUUUCGAACAAAUAAGGUAAUGUGUUUCGUGCUUGAUCUUUUUGAUACCAUGCCAUUUAAUUUUUUAUCACCACUAUCUUGGUUAAGCAUUUAAAUGAUUGGCAAAGGUUCACCUUAUAAGUGAGCAUGUAAGGGUGCAUCUGCCCUUACAUGAUCAUUUAGUGGGUUGAGACCCCUAGUAGAUGCAUUCUUAAUUGCUUACUUUAGAAACAAAUCUACUCCAGAGGAUCUUUAUCCUAUAAAUGAUUUGCAUUGUAACCUGGUUUUUGACUAGUCCGGCUUUGGGGCAAAUAAUUGGUUCUUAAACUUAAUAACCAUAUCAAAUCUGAGAGUUUUCUUGCAGCAAUCAUAUUGCAUUUUUCUCUAUGCUUGGAUUACUUAAGCAGGUCGCCUAGGGCAUUGGUUAACAUGACCCAUUAUUUAUAAUAGUAGCAAUGAUAUUAUUGCCCAUGGUUAAAUCUGAUACUAUUGUAAACUUUUUAGAUGUUAAUCAGGUAAAAUAUAUCAAAACUUGAAUUUUGUAGUGCUCCGAGGAUAGUCAUAGCUCGCCUACGUCUCAAGUUGCAAUUACUUCAACUGUAGAGGAAAACAAAGGAAAAUUGGUGUAUAUAGCAGUACCAGAUAUAAACCAAGAAUCUCCAAAAGUUCUCACUAUGGCUAGUCCACUGGUUGACAGGGAGACCAGCACAUCAAGAACACACAGCCUCGACGUGGAGCACCUCCUUUCUCACGCAGAUGAUCAUGCAAGAUCAAAAUCUGGCACUAGUUCUUUGGGACCAGAUCCUAGUAGCAGAUGGGCAAAACGAUUCAAGUUAUGCUUGUCAAGUUCUGCUCACGGUACCAAUAGUGCAACAAUUGGAGAAACUUCUUCGCAUGAACAAGUAAACAAUAUUUUCAGAAAAAUGAAAGGUAGAAAAACAAGCUUGGAACCGAAAAUGGCAUGUCAAAUCGAAGAGCAGAUGGUGCCAGACCUAUGUGCAACAACAUUAACAAAUAACAAGUCUUCUACUGAAGAGAACAAAACUGCAGAAAUUACACUUUCACAUCCGUGGAUCCGAAGGUGGUAUCAUAAUCAAGAUGUAUGUCCCCAAAAGAGGCAUGAAUUAUCAGAGUUUCAUGAACCUUCUUCAAACACUCCGGAAGAGUUCCAAAAGAAACAGUGUCCAAGUAUUGCUGCCAUGGCAAUGAUGGGAAAGGCAAUGAAGUGUUUGAAUCCAUGUGAGCUUAUGGAAAAGGGGCCUGUAGUAGUUUGGAAUAUGAAGGGAUUUUGAAAUUGCUUGCCAUCAGUGAUAUAAAUUUGUCGUGAAGUUUAUGGUGUGAUAUCUAUGGGGUUAGUUUGAGAGGAAUGCAGAGAAGUCAGAAAUGAUCACCAUCUCAUAUGCCACUAUCACUACCUUGUUCUCCUCAGGUUUGGAUUAAUUGAGUCAAAAUGUAAACAGUGCAUGCAUCUAAAGAUAGCAUGUUUGGUGUAGAAGAGUGCUUUUAAUGUAUAUAUACACAUGCAGUAACCUUUUCCAUCUAAGUUGGGGAAGUAUAUCUGUUGUCCCACAAUGAGUGUCACACCAUGUGCAUGACAUAGAUUUAAUAUAUAUACUUCAUAUUAUAAGUGUUUUUUUACACUAUGAAUAAAUCAUACUUACUAUUCAUAUGCUAAUUAUUAUGACUCACACACAAAAGUAAUACAAAUUAAUUAUAAAUAAUGCAUAAAUUUUAAAUUCUAUUAUUAUUCAUUAGAUGCGGUUUUAAAGUGGCCACGCAGCAUAAUUCGAAACAUAAGAGAAAUGUUAAAUAAAAAUCCAGCCAAGCAGUAGUUUGAAGUCAACAAAACCAAACUGAUAUUUCCCAAGUUAACUAUAUUACAAAAACAAUCAACGGACGAGGUAUAAUCCUUGCUUGUGGGACCCACCUACAAUAUUAUCUUAACCGUUGAUUCUUUGCAGUAACACACUUUUCCUUCAUCUCCACUUUUAUUUCUUCUGAACUUGUUUUAUUUCAUCUUCUCUGCUCCUCACUGGUUCACACUUUCGCCUAUUUCGAUUUUCCACGUCUCUAUUUUUUUGAAGGUAACUUCGAAUGAAUCUCUUCCUUGUUUUCAAAUGAAUCGCUAAUCAUUGACUUUGUUGUUUCGUGAAUUCCGUUGAAGUUCGAUUUGCUGCUCUUCGCUGAAUUCAAUUUCAAUCAAGCAUUUUCGAUUUCGAUUUCGCACCAAAAAUACAUUUAUUGAUCUUAUUCUAGUAAUUUCUAUAUCAAUUAGGAUUCAACUUUAUUUAUGUAAAGUGUUGGAUGCUUAUGAUCUAGUUUUAUUCAUUUGUAUGUAUCUGCAUGUUAGGUUUUUUUAGAUGAAGGCUUAUAUUUUGUCUCACUUUCGAUUUGAAAGUUUAUUUUGCUUAACCAAGUUUCUGUGGUGGAAAUAGUGGUGUGUUGUUGUGGUGGAGAAAGUGAAUCAGUGAUGAUGCCUAGUGAUAUUGUACAAGCAUGUCAUCAGGGUGAGGGGGUGGAUGGUCAGGUAAUGCAUGGUUACCAAUCAGCCUGGAUGGCUCAUUGGAAGCACACAAACUAUAAGUCAGCAGCAACACCGGCAGCUCGCAAUCGAUUAUUAAACAGUUUCGUGGUUAAAGAAAUCGAAGAAGACAAUGAUGAUGAGCAGCGUGAUUUGAUUCGCGAUUGUGGGCCAGAGGUUGCUAUAGAUGGUUCUGUGCAUGCUGGAGCAACCAGAGAAGCAGAUAGGGAUACAAGGAUUACCUUCAGCGAUGGGGUGAACCCUGGAAAAUCAAAGAAUGCAAGUUUAGGUUCAAAAUCAUUUCCUAUCUUCAGAAAGAAGACUGAUGGAAUUUCUUCUAUGAAGAGGGAACAGAAUGGUGUUUCCCGCCGGAGAUAUCGAAAAUCUGAAACUGAAGCAAGCUCUGGAGAAGACGAUGUUUCUAUAUACAGAACUGGGAGUCACCUACCAUCAACAUCUUCACAUGCUCCUCUUAGAACAGCAACUUCAGUAAGAGAGAACCAAUCAUCGUCUACAGGAAUUUCAGCAGCGCCUUUGUUGAUGAAAUCUCUGUACAGUGUUGAACAGAACAACCUUGUUUCAACAUCACUAUGGAAUGGCUUUGUGAAAUCAGCUUCUGACAAAGUGCCAAAUGGAAACGACAAAGGAAAAACCUUGGUGUCUCCUUCCACACGUGGACAAGAUAAAAUGUAUCAAUCAAGCUACAAGUUAGCAUCUCAAGAGCAUUUCACACGUACUAAAUAUCAU